GACGAACGCUGGCGGCGUGCUUAACACAUGCAAGUCGAGCGAGACCCCUCCUUCUUUAUGGUGUCCUCGCGUCGAACGGGUGAGUAACACGUGGGCAACAUGCCCUCAGCUCUUGGAUAAAUCCGCGAAACCGGAGCUAAUACAGCAUACGACCUCUACGGGCCUCUGCGGGGGGGUCAAGUUUUUCGGCUGUGGGUGGGGUCGCGGCCUAGCCGCUCCUUGGUGGGGUAGUGGUCCACCAAGGCGCCGACGGGUAGCCGGCUUGAGAGGGUGACCGGCCACACUGGGACUGAGAAACGGCCCAGCCUCCUACGGGAGGCAGCAGUGGGGAAUAUUGCGCAAUGGGCGGAAGCCUGACGCAGCGACGCCGCGUGAGGGACGAAGGCCUUCGGGUUGUAAACCUCUUUCAGCAGGGACGAAGCGAGAGUGACGGUACCUGCAGAAGAAGCACCGGCCAACUACGUG
rnacentral:rRNA from 1 species